rnacentral:rRNA from 1 species
GACGAACGCUGGCGGCGUGCUUAACACAUGCAAGUCGAACGGAAAGGCCCUGCUUUUGUGGGGCGCUCGAGUGGCGAACGGGUGAGUAACACGUGAGUAACCUGCCCUUGACUUUGGGAUAACUUCAGGAAACUGGGGCUAAUACCGGAUAGGAGCUCCUGCUGCAUGGUGGGGGUUGGAAAGUUUCGGCGGUUGGGGAUGGACUCGCGGCUUAUCAGCUUGUUGGUGGGGUAGUGGCUUACCAAGGCUUUGACGGGUAGCCGGCCUGAGUGGGUGACCGGCCACAUUGGGACUGAGAUACGGCCCAGACUCCUACGGGAGGCAGCAGUGGGGAAUAUUGCACAAUGGGCGGAAGCCUGAUGCAGCAACGCCGCGUGCGGGAUGACGGCCUUCGGGUUGUAAACCGCUUUCGCCUGUGACGAAGCGUGAGUGACGGUAAUGGGUAAAGAAGCACCGGCUAACUACGUG